AACGAACGCUGGCGGCAUGCCUAACACAUGCAAGUCGAACGAGAUCUUCGGGUCUAGUGGCGCACGGGUGCGUAACGCGGGGGAAUCUGCCCUUUGGUUCGGAAUAACAGUUGGAAACGACUGCUAAUACCGGAUGAUGACGAAAGUCCAAAGAUUUAUCGCCAGAGGAUGAGCCCGCGUAGGAUUAGCUAGUUGGUGUGGUAAGGGCGCACCAAGGCGACGAUCCUUAGCUGGUCUGAGAGGAUGAUCAGCCACGCUGGGACUGAGACACGGCCCAGACUCCUACGGGAGGCAGCAGUGGGGAAUAUUGGACAAUGGUCGAAAGCCUGAUCCAGCAAUGCCGCGUGAGUGAUGAAGGCCUUAGGGUUGUAAAGCUCUUUUACCCGGGAUGAUAAUGACAGUACCGGGAGAAUAAGCUCCGGCUAACUCCGUGCCAGCCGCCGCUGUAA
rnacentral:rRNA from 1 species